rnacentral:rRNA from 1 species
CCAAUGUGAACGUUACCAAUCUGUUGCCUCGGCGGGAUUCUCUUGCCCCGGGCGCGUCGCAGCCCCGGAUCCCAUGGCGCCCGCCGGAGGACCAACUCCAAACUCUUUUUUUCUCUCCGUCGCGGCUCCCGUCGCGGCUCUGUUUUAUUUUUGCUCUGAGCCUUUCUCGGCGACCCUAGCGGGCGUCUCGAAAAUGAAUCAAAACUUUCAACAACGGAUCUCUUGGUUCUGGCAUCGAUGAAGAACGCAGCGAAAUGCGAUAAGUAAUGUGAAUUGCAGAAUUCAGUGAAUCAUCGAAUCUUUGAACGCACAUUGCGCCCGCCAGUAUUCUGGCGGGCAUGCCUGUCCGAGCGUCAUUUCAACCCUCGAACCCCUCCGGGGGGUCGGCGUUGGGGAUCGGCCCCUCACCGGGCCGCCCCCGAAAUACAGUGGCGGUCUCGCCGCAGCCUCUCCUGCGCAGUAGUUUGCACACUCGCACCGGGAGCGCGGCGCGGCCACAGCCGUAAAACACCCCAAACUUCUGAAAUGUUGACCUCGGAUCAAGUAGGAAUACCCGCUGAACUUAAGCAUAUCAAGCCGCUAAGGAAUUCCGAGUUUACAACUCCCAACCCCCAUGUGAACGUUACCAAUCUGUUGCCUCGGCGGGAUUCUCUUGCCCCGGGCGCGUC